rnacentral:rRNA from 1 species
UGGGGAAUAUUGGACAAUGGGCGAAAGCCUGAUCCAGCAAUGCCGCGUGAGUGAUGAAGGCCUUAGGGUUGUAAAGCUCUUUUACCCGGGAUGAUAAUGACAGUACCGGGAGAAUAAGCUCCGGCUAACUUCGUGCCAGCAGCCGCGGUAAUACGAGGGGAGCUAGCGUUAUUCGGAAUUACUGGGCGUAAAGCGCACGUAGGCGGCUUUGUAAGUUAGAGGUGAAAGCCCAGAGCUCAACUCUGGAAUUGCCUUUAAGACUGCAUCGCUUGAAUCCAGGAGAGGUGAGUGGAAUUCCGAGUGUAGAGGUGAAAUUCGUAGAUAUUCGGAAGAACACCAGUGGCGAAGGCGGCUCACUGGACUGGUAUUGACGCUGAGGUGCGAAAGCGUGGGGAGCAAACGGGAUUAGAUACCCUGGUAGUCCACGCCGUAAACGAUGAUAACUAGCUGUCCGGGCACUUGGUGCUUGGGUGGCGCAGCUAACGCAUUAAGUUAUCCGCCUGGGGAGUACGGUCGCAAGAUUA